rnacentral:rRNA from 1 species
GAUGAACGCUGGCGGCGUGCCUAAUACAUGCAAGUCGAGCGAACGGACGAGAAGCUUGCUUCUCUGAUGUUAGCGGCGGACGGGUGAGUAACACGUGGAUAACCUACCUAUAAGACUGGGAUAACUUCGGGAAACCGUAGCUAAUACCGGAUAAUAUUUUGAACCGCAUGGUUCAAAAGUGAAAGACGGUCUUGCUGUCACUUAUAGAUGGAUCCGCGCUGCAUUAGCUAGUUGGUAAGGUAACGGCUUACCAAGGCAACGAUGCAUAGCCGACCUGAGAGGGUGAUCGGCCACUAUGGAACUGAGACACGGUCCAGACUCCUACGGGAGGCAGCAGUAGGGAAUCUUCCGCAAUGGGCGAAAGCGUGACGGAGCAACGCCGCGUGAGUGAUGAAGGUCUUCGGAUCGUAAAACUGUGUUAUUAGGGAAGAACAUAUGUGUAAGUAACUGUGCACAUCUUGACGUUACCUAAUCAGAAAGCCACGGCUAACUACGUG